rnacentral:lncRNA from 1 species
CUUAUUCACAGACAGGAGGAGCAAUCUAAUAUGUUACUAUGUUCUUAUCAUUAGAAUGUUCCUAUAACUUUAUUUCCUUUUUUGUUUCUGUCCUAGUCGAGCGCCGGUAGAGAGUUGUACAGCUGAAAUAGAUCACAGAAUGUUUUAGAUUAGAAAAAAACAGCUUAAUGUUGCUGGAGUGAAUGUUGUGUUGUUGGGGUAUCACUAUUGUACCCUCAUGUGCACAUUCUUAAUAAAUUCUUGUUGUGAUCUACGCAUUUUAAUAUUUUAAUUUUUUUAUUGAAGUUGAAGACUUGACUGUGAUCGAGGGUUUUUUUUUUUAUAAUUUAAUCCUUCAAAUAUUAAACCGUGUAAAACUUUUUCCAGGUCUGAGUUGCACUAGAGGCUGAGUAUAGUGAUGUUUAUAUUCGCCGACACUGAGUUUGGUUCAAGCCAAGGAUGUAGAAGUCGAACACUCUUAGGUUCUAGUUUGAGUUAAGACUAAUUGGUCCUGCUAAUUUUGGUUCGAGUUUGAAGGUGAAUCUUGAAAUGACUCGAUUAAAUAGUACGAUAGUUCGAGUAUGAUUGAAGGUAAAUCUUGAAAUUUGAUUCAAUUAAAAUUUGAUGUGUUCCAAGUGGCUUAAUAACAACCUCCUUUGUUUAUUUUGAAUCUUGUAGAAAAUUUUAGAAGAUCUUUUGAAUCUCGAAUCGAUUGUUUGAGACUCGACUAAGCUUAUCAAGAAGUUUGAAAUUUGGUUGGACUAAAAUUUGAUAUAUAUAAGCCUAGGUUAUUUUGGGUUGAAAUUAACAUUAUAUUAGAAAAUAUUAUAACUCUAUAUAUCUAUAUACAUAUAUAAUAUAUUUGUAUUUUAAUAAUUUAUAACCAAUAUAUUUCUGUCUCUGAUCAUCAUCAUAGAUGCACAAAAAAAAUCUGGGUCAAGCCAAUUUUGAAAAUACACGAUUCGAUCAAAAUCAAAACAUCUGAGUCAAAGUCAAUUUUGAAAAUACACGAUUCGAUCAAAAUCGAGGCUAAAUUUACGACCCUUAACGAUUUCUAUAAUAUAAAUCAGACUUCAUAAAAUUUUAUCGAGAUGUUAGGAAAACCACAAUUUAAUUUAUUUUUAAAGUCUAAAUAAACUCAAUUAUUUUAUGAAAAUUUAACCUGAUCAAAAUUAAAAAAAUCAAAAAUCAAAAUUUUUUUUAGAAGAAAACAAAACAAAACAAAAUCAAAAUUCAACUUGAUUUACUAAAAGAACCCAGAAUUUUUAAAGCCGGGUCUGAAAACCUCUGUAAGAUAUCCUUAAACGUUUGCGAGUCCUUUUGGUAAUUUACUUGAUAAAAGUAUUUAUGUACAAAUUUUUUUGUACGUUUUGUUUUGUUAAAUUUUAAUCUUAUACAAAAUGAAAAUUAAGAAAAUCUAAAAUACCUCUGAAAAAUGCUUUGAGACUCGCUAAUGGAGUUGAGUUCACACAGUCGAGCGUGCAAGUUCUAGUGGAGUUGAGUUGUGUGCAAAGUAAUGGCG